GUGCUCCCCAGCGAAUCAGGCUGUUCACCUAUGCCAAAUAUGCAGUAUAUGGUCUUUCUCUGAAGCCCCAUCCUAAUUCUGAUUUUGUAGAGAAAGCUGCAUUUUCCAGAUUAAAGACAAAUGUUAGUUAUCUUCAGUCAAGGGUUAUUCUUGAGGUGCUGGAGCUGCUUUCUUGGAUGGAGCUUCAGAGAAAGACCAUAUACUGCAUAU
rnacentral:misc_RNA from 1 species